GCCAGGGCCCGCGUGAGCCUCUGUGGCGCCAAACUCGGGGCCUCCCUCGGAGGCGAGGCCACCCCGCCGGCCUCCGCACACAGGAGGCCUCUCCCCCAUGUGGUUUGCGAGAGCAGCGGGAAGGGGCUUGAAUCUGGUGCGGCUGCCGGCUCCCCGAUGGGCAGGAGGCGGACGCUGCCCCUACCGGGAUGACACCGGGCGGGGGGGCGUCCCCGCAGCACGCAGGAGUCCCAUCCGGGUCCUUCCACCCACCCUGCAAAUGUCACUGCCCCUUGAAUUGCUGGAGUCAGGUUCCCAAGGUGCCUUGGAUGGGGAGCUCCUUUGAGGGGACAAUGUCACUCGGGUUGGCAUAGGACAUACGCUCCUCUGAGGACAGAACGUAGAGGCACGCGCCAAGCGCAAGGUGUCCUCCCUACAAGGUGGGUGAGAAACUUUGGACCCGAGCCUUCAGGAGAGGAGGCCCUUGCUCUAUCCAAGAGCGUAGCCGUUAUCACAGCCCCCUCUUCUCUCGGGUCCCCGGCGGGCGGGCGCAGAGCCAGGUGACCCAGCCCAGCCGGCGCUGGGUGGGGUGGGGGGGGGGUUGUGCCGCCCCAAGAGUCUCCUUCCUGCCCUCCUCUGUCUCCGUCUGUCUUCAGGCCGCCGCAGGGUCUCGGGUUCUACCGGAUCCCUGUUGUGAUGGCACGGUGCCUCGCAGCCCCCUGGGGACUGAAGCCGGACGGGAGCCCCACAGACACCGGCGGCAGGGUGGGCAGAGGGGCCAGCACUGCCCGCUGACCUGCUGAGACGCUGCGGCACACGGAGCUCUCCCCGAGCCCGGCUCCCCUCGGUCCACAGGGCUGCUCGCAAACACCCCCGCCCCUCUUCUCCGAGUCCCCAGGACCAAAGCCUCAAGUGAUGGAGGUGUUCUAGAUGUGUGCUAUCCCAUCGGAGCCACCGGAGCAUCUGAAGCGUGACCAGCGAGCGACCAACUCGUCUGCAUUUGUUAUAGCCGCUGAACCAGUAUUGACCCAUCAUCGUCAAGCGAAGCCCGUGAUCUACGUCAUGGUUCCACACUCUGUGUUGUGCGGUUGUGAGUGUGGACAAAUCCGUGUCAUUGAUCCACCGUUACGGUAUCAUCCAGACGGAGGAGGUUCACCGCCCUACAAAUCAGUGCUGCCACGAUUCACCCUCCCGUGCUCCACCCGCACCCAUAACCACCACUCUGUGUACUGUCGCUGUAAUUCUGUCUUUUCCAGAAGGUCAUACGGUUGCCGUCUUUUUAGACUGGCUUCUUCCAACUUCCCAAUUUACAGUGAAGGUACCUCUGUGUCUUUGUGCCUUCGCAGCUCACUUCUUGUAACCGCUGAAUGUCGUCCCACGGUGUCGAUCCAUUCACCUACUGAAAGACAUCUGGGUUGCUUCCAAUUUGGGGCAGUUAUGAAUAAAGCUACUGAAACAUU